rnacentral:lncRNA from 1 species
CAUGUAUGCUAUUGAAGAUAAAUCCUUCUUCUAAAUUAUAAACAAGCAAACAUGAUUAUUUCUAAUUUGAACUUUAUCCGUAGCCUUAUAAAAAUUUAACCAAAUUCUUAUCUAGACUCUGCAGUUUUAUACGUUAAAAUUUACAAUAAAAGGAUACUAAGUAGUUUUGCAGGAUAUAUAAAAUAGUUAAUAAUAACCUUCAAAUGUACUAAAAUAUAACUGGCCACUUUCUCCAAAAGGUAAACUAAA